rnacentral:misc_RNA from 1 species
UCAAGCAUAAUUUGAAUUUUAAAGUUCUUAUUUCAUUGUUUUGCUAUUUGGUUUUAUGAGCUAAAUAUGUUAAUCAAUCUUUUUAUUCUUGUUUGUAGAGAUGCAAAAUGUUAUUCUCAAGGAGCUUGCAGAAAUAAAAGUUCUUUUAAAAGACGUUAUAGAAAUUAAGUUUCAGGCUACUGGGGUGAAGUUGCUAGAAUUGGUGGACGAAGUGGUUACACUGGAUAAUAAACUAAAAGAUAAAACUGACUUGAUAGUUUAAAAAGGAUUGGUGGUGGAAAGCCAAGAGAACAUGUUUUUUUGAUCAUGAAAAGAUAUCGGCGGCGUGGAAGAAAAUGUUGACGGCAAUGCAGAAAUAUAGUUUCUUAUGUAUAUUUUUGUGAAAUAAAAAUUAAGUAAUGUUAGUUAAAA